AAAUAACCCAGAGAACCUUUCAGGGACAUUGGACACCACCAAGAGGGCUUGGGUUGUCAGUCCUUCCUGCUCUGACAAACUGCAGUGUGUGUGUGGCUCUGGGGACUUAUAAUUUCAUUCCAGGGUGUUGGCAUGGGCACAAGCACAGGCCAUGCUGGAGGAGACUCGUGAUGGGGGAGGAUUUUAGGCUUCUGUGCAACCUGCUGUGUCUGUGCUCUGUGCAUUUUGAGAAGGCUGUAAACACAAGUAAUGAAUAUAAGAUUGCUACAGCUGCUCUUUUUAUCAUCUACACUGUGAGUUCAUCGC
rnacentral:lncRNA from 1 species